rnacentral:piRNA from 1 species
UGCUCUUGCAGGGUUUUAAGAUCAGG